rnacentral:rRNA from 1 species
UACGUAGGCAGCGAGCGUUGUUCGGAGUUACUGGGCGUAAAGAGUAUGUAGGCGGUUGCGUAAGUUUGGUGUGAAAUCUCCCGGCUUAACUGGGAGGGUGCGCCGAAAACUGCGUGGCUAGAGUGUGGGAGAGGAAAGCGGAAUUCCUGGUGUAGCGGUGAAAUGCGUAGAUAUCAGGAGGAACACCGGCGGUGUAGACGGCUUUUUGGACCAUUACUGACGCUGAGAUACGAAAGCGUGGGUAGCAAACAGG